rnacentral:rRNA from 1 species
CCUUUGACGUUAGCGGCGGACGGGUGAGUAACACGUGGGUAACCUACCUAUAAGACUGGGAUAACUUCGGGAAACCGGAGCUAAUACCGGAUAAUAUUUCGAACCGCAUGGUUCGAUAGUGAAAGAUGGUUUUGCUAUCACUUAUAGAUGGACCCGCGCCGUAUUAGCUAGUUGGUAAGGUAACGGCUUACCAAGGCGACGAUACGUAGCCGACCUGAGAGGGUGAUCGGCCACACUGGAACUGANACACGGUCCAGACUCCUACGGGAGGCAGCAGUC